UUAAGUCGAAUUUGUACGCUGUUGGAACGUUCGCCUACGUUUGCCGCUAGGGGCGCUGUUCCAACUGCAUACACAUUUGAGUUA
rnacentral:pre_miRNA from 1 species